rnacentral:rRNA from 1 species
CACCUGUGCACACACUGUAGGUCUGGAGGGGAAGGGAGGUAACUCCCUAACGUUUCAGGUCCUAUGUUUUUACACAUACACUAUUAAAAGUAACAGAACGUUUCAAUGGGCUUUAAGCCUAUAAACUAUAUACAACUUUCAGCAACGGAUCUCUUGGCUCUCGCAUCGAUGAAGAACGCAGCGAAAUGCGAUAAGUAAUGUGAAUUGCAGAAUUCAGUGAAUCAUCGAAUCUUUGAACGCACCUUGCGCUCGUUGGUAUUCCGACGAGCAUGCCUGUUUGAGUGUCAUUAAAUUCUCAACCUCAUCGCUUUUGUGAUGAUGGCUUGGAUGUGGAGGUUUUUGCAGGCCGUUAAGGUCAGCUCCUCUCAAAUGAAUUAGUGGGUGCCCCGCGCAAACCUAUCUAUUGGUGUGAUAAUUAUCUACGCCGUGGAUCUUAGGAUUGCUGUAAAAAGGUGUUUGCCCUGCUUCUAAUCGUCUUCGGACAACUUGAACCAUUUGACCUCAAAUCAGGUAGGAC